rnacentral:rRNA from 1 species
AUGUACACGGGUUCCAACCCCACCUCAGAGAAGAGGAACUCGGACCUACGCUUCAGCAGACCACCUGAAUGUAUUCUUCAAUUAGUCCACUUUGGCGGCAAUCUUCUCCUCGUUGAGAAACGCGACAGCCUGUAGCGCUGGCCUGAACAUCCCAGCGCCACGAGGCACGCCUAAUCUUUCAGCAGAUGCCACCAUCGCGCGGACACGCUCUGGGUUGGUGGUCAGCAUCCUCGGCACAGGGAUACACACCUUGACAAUAUCGCAGUCAUUUAG